UGCCAGCCGCCGCGGUAAUACGGAGGGUGCAAGCAUUAAUCGGAUUUACUGGGCGUAAAGGGUGCGUAGGCGGACAGGCAAGUCAGGUGUGAAAUUCCGGUACUCAAUAUCGGAGCUGCACUUGAAACUACCUGUCUAGAGGAUAGGCGGAGAGAACGGAAUUCCGUAUGUAGCGGUGGAAUGCGUAGAUAUACGGAAGAACACCUGUGGCGAAAGCGGUUCUCUAGUUUAUUCCUGACGCUGAGGCGCGAAGGCGUGGGUAGCGAACGGGAUUAGAUA
rnacentral:rRNA from 1 species